rnacentral:lncRNA from 1 species
CACAGAGGAUGGGGAGUGGGCUGUACUGUCUCCUUCAUCUCCAGGGCUUGGUACAAUUCUGGGCAUUACUAGGUGCUCUGUCUGGGGACUUGCAGGAGUUCAGUCGAGAAGGUGAAGUGAUUUGAUGUCAGGUAUUUCCUUGAAAAUCCUCUGGAGAGUGGAAUACAGAUGAAACAAACUUUGUCAAAAUCUGAUGGAUACACAGCAUUCGUGAUAACUUUCUUUUAUGUAUCUUUGAAAUUUCCAUAAUAAAAAGGUAAAAAAGAAGUUU